rnacentral:ncRNA from 2 species
CUUGCCUGUCGCUGCUCAGGUUCUACGGCGCAUGCGCUGUAGGUAGGGAAUGCGGUACGCAGAUCGAUAAUCUGCAAAUCCGCAGCUGCCCCCGCAACUGUAAGCGGUGAGCUGCUUCGCACGAAGCCACUGGUGGCCAUCGAGGCCGCCGGGAAGGCGCGAAGCAGCGUUAUAACCGCAAGCCAGGAGACCUGCCUGAGCAUGGUCGCUCUU